UCCCUGGUGGCCCAGUGGUUAAGACUCUUGCACUUCCACUGCAGGGGGUGCGGGUUCAAUCCCUGGUCAGGGAA
rnacentral:tRNA from 1 species